GAGUUCUAAAGGCUGCGGGGAUAUUUGCUGGAUCCAUCUUUUUGAUGCGCACCUUUGGUGACAUGAUGGUAGUUUAAGGACGUUGUAGUGGCUGAGCAGGGUAAUGGUGGUUCCAUGCCCAUUUUCGUUGUGUGCCUUGUGAUCAGGCUUGUGGAAUAUUUGUACUCAGACUUGUCGGUUUCUUGUUGAGUUGGUGUUUGAAGCAUUUCUCGGCAGGGCUAUUUGACUGUUCUUUUUUAGUUGAGCACUUAAUCUUCUAUGAGUAUAAUAAGUUCAUGUCCAGUUUGCUGUUAGGUCAACACAACCGUAGGCUUGUGUUGAAUUAACAGUCUAAUUCUAUUGUUUAGAUGCAACAUUUUGAUUAUGUUAAUAUGGGUGUUUGCCGAUGUUCUUCUCGAAUGGCUAGUUAUUCAUUGUUCUGUGACAUUCUGGAUGCAAUCCCAGCAGUUGCAUUUCUUGAUGUCAGUUCUCAGAAACUCAUGUAGUUCAUCUGUCUUGAAUACUUCUCUGUUAAUCGGAUGCCAUCGUUGACAGGGCACACUUGCACUCCUUGGAGGAUCCCAUGCCAAAUACGGUUGUGCCUGCCCACAGGGGUUCCAAAGCGCCGUAGGCUAUUUGGUACCUACCAAUUUCGGAUGUAUGACUUCAUAAUAUAAUACUCCCUCCGUCCCAAAAUUCUUUUCUUAGAUUUGUCUAUAUACGGAUGUACCUAAUACUAAAACGUGACUUGAUACAUCCGCAUUUGGACAAAUCUAAGACAAGAAUUUUGGGACGGAGGGAGUAGAUAACUGUCACAUUCCCAACGAUAAAUAUUACUCUCUGAGUAUUGAAAUCGAAACCUGGAUGUUUCGCGUCACAGGAUGGCCGUCUCGUAUGCUUUCAUGAUGUAACCCUGGAUGUUUGCUUACAGUAGAUUUUAAAGUAGCAUGGUUUAAUAGAUUUUAAAGCGAAUUGAAAUCACAUGUUCAGGGAUCAACAGUACAAUUGUACGCCUUGUCCUCUCUUUUUCUAGCGUUAUUUAUUUUGUUUAUUGCAUUCUUCUGCCUUAGACACUGCUCAUGUUCAUAUCAAUAAUCAAAUAAAAUCAUGUUAUUUUUGGUUGCAUGUCCCGCAGAUGUCUUGGUCUUUAUUGAUUAAUAUAUAUGCAUGCUCUUAUAAAUACUUAAAUCCUAUUUUCUUUUGCCUUAAUUUAAAACACUAUUUUGCUAUGGAAUUGCCAAUGAUGAUCUCCUGCUAUAUUGUACUCCCUCUGUUCGGAGUUACUUGUCGCAAAAAUGAAUUAAAAUGGAUGUAUUUAUAGAACUAAAAUAUGCCUAGGUACAUUCAUUUUUCCGACAAGUAUUUCGGGACGGAGGGAGUAGGAAAGUAAAAGAUCCUUACAUUUGAUGAGUAUAUCUUGAUUGCACUUAAUGCUGACAGGAUGGUUGGAAUAUACCGAGAGAUCAAGGAUCCUAUUUUCUUCAACCUGAGAACAGUUUGUGUUCUCAAAGUACUGAACCAACUUUAAUGUGGAAAAUGUCUUCUUGGAAAUUCACUGUAUGAUUCUUGAAUAAUCAUGUACUAGGUAAAGUGGUCAUGUGGCAAAAAAGUUGGAGGACAGGAUCGUCGAGGCACUUCUGAAGUAUGGCUACAAAGGCGAAUACAUGUCUGAAGAUUGGCUCAAGCAGCCAGUAUUCAUCCCAUCCUUUGCUCCAACUUCACUCAUUUACAUCCCAAACAUGACAAACUCCAGAAGUUUUUCUAAUAGAUGAUACCAUAAAAAAAACUGAUAUCAGCAGUAAGCACUAGCGGGCUUUUCCUACAAAAACUCCUUUUUUUCAAAGACAUUUUCUAACGUGCAGCCGUACUAUGAGAUAACUUCAAAUGGUUAUCUCGCGUUCAUAGUAUAUACUCCACACACAUUCAGAAAUCAGAAUUCAUUCCUGCACUUCAACUUCCUCCAAGACCCUUAUGUUGAAUAUGACUAUAUGUGUACUCUUAACAAGAUCAGUAUUGCGGCCUGUUCACCGAUUUCACCGGCACCUUGCACAGGUCCCAGCACUGCACAGCUCCACUCCAUACCAAAUGAAGUAAAAUAAGGUAGAGGCACUCCUGCAUGAGAUCUCCUACAUGCUGAAGGAUGAUGGAUACUAAGCUUAUGUUCCCAAGUCUGCAUACUGUUCUCACCGUUAACACCACUGAGAAAAAGGAUGUGUGCUGCCAUUCUCUGUAAAAUAUACAAAUAAAUCACAGGAAUGCUAACUAUAGAGCAUCACAAAGUAAAAAUUGUCAUAAAAUCUGGAAGAAUUGCACUGUUUAUACUUUAUACUACUUUAUAAUGAUUCCUAGUAAAAAAAAGUAGUUCUGAAAUAAGUACUAUAUUCAUGGCAUAUUGGCAUUUAUUCUCAACUCUAAAUAAUGAGAGUAAGAUGGAAGAUAUGGUUUAACAUACACGAGGCCAAAGAAAUCUUUCUUUUUCCAUGAGACAUGUCAACGACUUAUAAAUUUACGCAGAGUCUUGCUUGUUACCUAGCCUUGAAUACAGAAUAUGAAUAUAUCUUCCUAGCGGGCCAAAUAAAGGCCCAGUUCUUUUCAGGCAAGAUUCUACAGAAUCAGGAUUCUGCAAAAUUCUCCCAAAAUCUGCUUCUCCCAGAAUCUGCCGCCGAGUUCUUUUCAGAGAUUGUAGUUUGAGAUUCUAGAAAGUGUUGUGUGUUGAAAUGCCUGUACUAUCCUUAGACAAAAAUUUCUUGGAUGAAAUGUAUUUUAUCUAUCAACAAUAGCUAGCAUCAAUUCAAGCAUUAUUCAAGCAUGAAGAAACAGAGAGAUGUAAAAAGGAGGGCUCAUCGUGAGUGUCGGCGUCGAACUUUGCGGGACGGGGCUGAGGGCCGGGACGGACUGAGGGGCGAGGAGGAGCUAAGGAGGGAAGCUGGCCGGCGGGGACGGUAACCCUAGCUGCUGCCGCGCAGCUGACGGGGCGGGGUGAACUGCUGGGCGAGGAGGGCGGGGCGGACCGGGCAAGGGAGGCUGGCUGGCGGGGGCGGGGGCGGCUCGAAGGUCCGCUGCCCCGAUGCGGUGCGGGAACUGGGAGACGAGUGCGCGGUUGGGUGCGUCCGCUCGUUGACUGCGGGGUGGCAUUUUGACCGUAAAUAUGUGAUACAAUAGGGGUACAACUAUACUUCGAAACGUUUUCUUUGGUGGGACUAGCUAGAAUCCUGAGAUUGUGGGAGAGGCCAGGUAUAUUGGGAUUUUGGGAUUGCAUUAGGAUUCUACAGAAUCCGAUUGAGAUUUUGAAAGUUCAAUCGGUUCUUUUCGCUCGGGAUUUUCGGGACCGAGAUUCUCCAUAAUCUGCUCAAAAGAACUGGGCCAAAAUCUCUCGGGGUGAAAUGUGUGUGCAUUAACUAAUUCUGGUUCCAAUGUUAUGUGGAUGCUGACCUUCAUGCGAAAUGUACGCGUGAAAACAAAUUGUGUGAGACACUUAUCACUUACAUGUUGGCCUACUACACAACAUACAUAAACAAUCACUAUAUAUAUCCAGCCUGCUUCCAUACACUACACUCCUGCUUCAUUUACUUAGUUAAAUGUGUAGGAGUUUGAUUUUUUUUUCGUUGGUAAAGUUCUGAGAUAGUGGAGGCAACCACAGACUCAAUGGAGUAUGUCGCGAGCUUAGGAUGUCUCGGAAGUUACAGACAAUCAAAUACGGCGUGUGUGUCAUGUUUAGGCUGCCGUGGGCCAUGGUUAGUAGUUGUUCUUACCAGCUGAUCAAGAAUUCGUCCGAUUAAUCAGUUAACGGACUAGUUAAUCGCUACUUGUAGGAUGGUCAAAUCGAAUAGCACAUAUUUGGCGCGUUAACUUGCCAUGCCGAUUAACUGGCGUGGUUGGUAUAUUGCAUAGCUGAGAGUUUGAGAGUAUGGUGUAAUACAUAAAAGAUUAGAUAUAUGUUGCCAGACAAAGUUCGGCAUGCUUCUCGAGAGGACCGGACAAGAAGUUCUGGAAGAAAAUGCGGAGGCUUCCGAUUCCACCCAAAGUUCCGAAUUUUUGGUGGCGGGUCAUCAAGGGUUUUGUCCCUUCUAGAGGGGUAUUAUGCCAAAGACAUAUUUAGCAGGUUGAUUUCUGCCAUGCUUGUGGGCAACAGGAUACCAUUCGGCAUGCUUUAUUCGAGUGUACUUAGGCAAGAAUGUUUUGGCAAGAGAUCAAGAAAUUGACAUCAACUAAGGUACCGCUCACGCACCCUGAAACCUGGGUGAUGGACUUGCAUCAUUCUAUGCGGUUCAUGGGCUGUUUGGACGGAGAGAAAUGCACGCAACCAUGGAGAAACUACUCGGUCCAUAGCACAAUCUGUAAAAUGGGCAAUUGAUGUAGCCACAGAUCUCGCAGUUACAGGAUCACAACAUGUAGUACGCGUGAACAAAGAACUGCAGAAGUGGAAACCGCAAGAAGAAAGGUUCACUAAAGUUAAUGUGGAUGCUGCGUUCUGGGGAGAAACUCAUGAAGGAGGGACUGGCGCAGGUCUGCAAAAUCAUGAUGGUAAGCUGCUCAGAGCAUAAUCCAUAUGGUAUGAAAACGGGUCUUAAUGCAAGAUCACUUGAGGCAUAUGCUAUCAGAGAUGGCAUAUAAUUGGCUGCAGACUUGGGGUAUCGGAAGGUCAUUAUUGAGUCUGAUGCUCAACAAGUUAUAAAACAGUGCAAUUCUCCUGGGGUAGAUCGAUCGGAGAUAGCGACCACUGUGAACGAGAUACAAGAGCUUUGCGGGAAUUUUGAGGAACUUCGGUUGGUGUUUAUUCAUAGAGAAGCAAAUGAAUUAGUGCAUCUUUGUGCUAGGCAAUGUAGUUCCUCUAGGAGAAGAUGCAUCUGGAUUAAUUAUGUCCCAUCCUUCCUUACGGCUUGUGUAAUGAAGGAAUGUAAUCCCGUUGAUUAAAUCAAUAAAGCUCUUGAAAUCCAAAAAAAAAGAUAAAUGUCGCCAGGUUCAUAUUUAAUCUACUAAUUUAUGAUCGACCAAUUAAUCCAGUUGUUAGGACGGUUCAUCGAUUAGUCGCUACUCCCAAGCCAACCGAGCAUGUACCAGUUACUUGUUUCCUGGACAAUGUUCUCACCAUUACUGGUUUUUGAUAAUAGUUAUAUUGCUGGGUAAGAAGAUCUGGGAACGCCCGCCCGAUACGUUUCCAGAAAUAAUAGCAAUCCAAAUAGGACAGGGAACGAGGCACAGUGUCACUCGGAUACGAGUGCUCGGUGCUCCGAAAUCCCAAUACGACUCGGACAUGCACGGCCGGAUCCCAACGAAUAAAUACGUUACUCCAUGAGCUGUGAGCACCUACGUACCUAAGAUUGCUGGCACGACUCAAGAACCAGACGAUCCAUCAUCAUGUACGGGGCCAGUCCGGCGAAAUUCCGGUCGUUCACGCCGCCGGCAAUCACCCUGCAGCCCCCGCUCCCGCCCCACGACGACCCAUGGCCGACCUCCGCCCCUCUGCAGCCCGCGACUCCCCUCGCCGAGCCCGCCGGCGCCAAGGCUUACGAUCAAGAAAUCACCGCGUGCCACCGGUCCGUGGAGGCCGCGGCGCCGGACUACACCUCGAUGAUGUCGGUGCCCCAGAAGCCGGAGACCCCGCCCAUCCUCGCCGUCCUCGUCAAGUGGAUCGCCUCCGUCGCGGUCGGCUUCAAGACGCAGCUACGGUGCGACCUUGAUAUGUGACACCAGUCACCAGGCCGCCUCAUUAUUAAUUUAUUACAGGAAAGAACAGAUCUGUACACUCGCAACGGUCGCAUUAGUAUAUUCUUUUUUCAGGGAUGCAUUAGUUUAUUCUUUGGCAUGCUUGUUGUAGUUGUGUAUUUUUUUAAGAGUCAAUUACAUCAUAGGUGUCUGAACUUGGCGAGAAAAAUCAGUUUGGUGUUAAAACUUGCGGCAUACAUUGAACCGGUGACAGAACUUGGCUUAGGCGUGCAUCUACGGUGCUAAUCACGUUUGUAUACGCAUGGUGUGCUGACGAGGAACACCAACGUGGCGCCGGACCCAGCGUCGGUGACUGCAAGGCGGGGAGGAGGGUGUGUGGCCUGGUUUUUGCAGAAAGCACCCUGGAAUUCUUUUCCUCAUAGAAAAGCCCCUGAAUGAAUACCAAAUCUUGCAAAAAUACCGUGAAACUUAACGACGUCUCUAUGACCCUUGAGGCCCACCCGUCAGGAAAUAAUAGGAAGAGAUAAUAAUAUAUGUAGAUAAAGAGGUGCGCACCAGGGACAUCACACUACGGAGAUGACAAUGCUAACCACCGCACCAAGUCUAGUUUGGUGUCAACAGGGGUAGCUAUAUACAUUUUUUUAGGCAAGGGUAGCUAUAUACGUGACUCCACCCUAACAAGACUGCCAUGUGGGCCCCAGUGUCAGUGACUGGACCACACAGGAGAGGGCGUGUGCGAUGGAAUUUUUAUUUUCACACAAAAGAGAACCUCGAUUUUUCUUAAAAAAACACUGAGACGUCACUAUACAUCUCUAUGACCUUUGGGUCCCAUCCCGCAGGAUACAUUACAAAGAUCAAAUUGAUAUGCAAAAUAUUGUGCCUCACAGGUUCGAACCAAAGACCUGACCCCAUCUGGUCGGCUGCCGAAAUGGCCCAUUUUUCACGCGUUAUUUUUUCUAAAUUAUAAAUAUUAUAUAUAAAGCCGCAAAAAUACAAAUAAAAUAAUGUUUAUGUAAUUCUAAAAAACAUUAUUGUCUAAAUUAUUUUAUGUAAUUCUAAAAAAUAUUCUUUUUAAAAUAAUGUUCACGUAAUUCAUAAAACUGUUCUUAUCUAAAAGAAUAUUCAUGAAAUUCUAAAAAUAUAUGAAAAAUAUUUAUGUAUUAUUUGGAAAAAUAUUUCUAUAACUAAAAUAACAAAUAUGAAUUAUAAUAGUAUUUAUCAAUUGGAAAAACUAUGGUGUGCAAAAUGGGGCGCGGUCGCUCCAGAUCAUUUAAGCCGCAUGUGCGUGAUUGUAGUUAUUAACUACUGCUAUCCUGUAUAAUAAGCAAUGUGGCCUUGUUGUUGUGGCUAGAAUGAUCGUUUUAUUAUCGUGAGGUCGCGGGUUUGAACUGACACUUGGUUUUCGAUGUUAUAAUAUCCUUUUGUACUGUUUCCGGAUGGGUGGGCCGGGUCAUAGAGAUGUAGUUACGUUUCAAGGGAUUUUCCCAAGAUUUGUAUUCAGUCAGGGUUUUUUUUGUGAAGAAAAAAAUAAUUCCAGGGUGUUUCCUACAAAAACCAGGCCACACCCCUCCUCUCCUCCUUCCAGCGUAUUCAGUCAUGGGCUUUUUUGUAAAGAAAAAAUAAUUCUAGGGUGUUUUCUAAAAAAACAGGCCACACGACCUUCUUCCUGCCUUCCGGUCACUGACACUAGGGCCCGCGCCACGUUGACGUGCCUCAUCAGCACACCAUGCGUAUACAAACGUGAUUAGCACCAUAGAUGCACGCCCAAGCCAAGUUUUGUUACUGGUUCAAUGUAUGCCACAAGUUUUAGCACUAAACUGACUUUUCUUGCCAAGUUCCGGCACCUGUGGUGUAAUUGACUCUUUUUUUAAUUUUCGAUUAACAGUUGUGUAUGCUUCUUCGCAAAAAAAGACAGUCGUGUAUGCUGGUGUAUAUAUAUAUAAUCGGAGGUAAUAUCACUGGUAGUGAUACAACUUGCAUUGGAUGUGCAGUUUAGUGUUACAACUUUCAAAAUACAUUUUUCUGAUCAUACAACUUGCGUUUUGGUGGAGAUACGGUCAUUCCGUCUGCAUCCGCCGCUGGCGUGGCAUGCUAUGCAUGCAAGGGGCCACUGUUAGUGACCGAAAACAUCCUGGAGCAACCUGCGCGUGGUUUUCUUGCAUAGACCCCCCUUAACUUGUUAUUAUGUGCGCAAAAAAGUCCCUAGAACGGCGGGAACAGGCGGCCCAUGCAUAUUUGCGAGUGGCACCCCAAUAGCGCGAGAUUAUCGGGCUAUCUUCCGAUGAUGACGAGAACUAGAACUUUCUUCAGUUCAGAUUAGUCUGUCAGCUAAUUUCGGUUCAGUAAUUGCUAUCUUCAGAUUUCGUCAGCGAGUUCAGUAAUAUUAGUGUGCUUAGCAAGUUAAGUUAUCUCUAUUUCAGCAAGUUCAAUUAUCUUUAGUCCAAUUUACAAUGUAAUGUACACUAUAUUUAGUCUGUUUCGAUGCAAAUUUUAUAUUCUGUCAUUUCCAACAAGUGUCACAUUGCAAACACAAAAAUCACAUUACAUCUCUUAACCAUGUUCAAAAUGCAAAGAUAAUGGCACACAUUACAUCUUCAGGCCUCUUACAUCUUUCUUCCUACUAAUUCUUGAUUGCUACUGCAAAGAGAAUGGCACACAAGCCAAAACAAAGGCUAAUUGUGAACACUAGCAUCCUCUCUCUACACAACAACUAUUCCCUGUGAAUCCUUGCAAGCAACUUCUUCUCCAUCUUGCGCUUCUCCCUCAUGGACUGCUUCGCUGCUUCCUUCUCCUCAACUUGAUUCUCAAGCAGCUUGUUCUUCCUAGACAGAUCACAAAUGACAGACCUUUCCCAUGCACUCCAUUCUGGAUCACGCCGCUGCACAUGUGAGAAAUCCUAUACACGUAAUAAACACAUAAAUUCAGCGAUAAACUACAUCUCAUACAACAUAAAAAACAUUUACAAUACUCCCUUACCUCAUAUUGGGAUCCCAAAAGCAUCCUCCAAAGUUGCUCCCUUCUGUUGCCCCACGACGAGCAGAACUUAUGCAUGCCUACCAUUCUCAACAUUCCGCUCCACCCCAUUGAACUGGGCAUCAAACUUGUGUUGUGGCAGUCCAAAAACAAAUUGCGGGAGCUCAUCUACCUAAAAAGCAAAUCUUUCUCAAUAACGGACGAAGCUUUCAUGCAAGAGAUUCAGACAGGACAAGGCAUUACCUCCGUGUUUUUCUUCGAUCCGAAGUGGUAAACAGGCGCGGCCUUCCAUUCCUCCUCUUCGUCGCGAUUGCCAACACCGGAGCCACCCAUCUCACCAAACCAAGAGGGGUAAAAACCAGAUCCUGCCGUCGGCGACCUUUUCCUCACCUCGACACCGACGGCCUCAACAACCUCCUCCCCCAAGCCAGCAGCAGCCGUCGUCGCCCGCCUAGGGUUCUAACACCACAGAUUUGGGAACUAGGAGGAUUUGCAAACAAAGGAGACCACCAGAAGAGGUUAUGUUGGGGCCACUGUAUGCAUGAACUUUUUUACGUGAAUAAAUGUUUUCUGAGGCGGGUCCGUGCAAGAAAACCAUGCGCGGGUUGCUCCAGGGCAUUUUCUGUCACUGACUGUGGCCCCGUGCAUGCAUGGCAUGCCACACCAGCGGCGGAUAUGGACGUAAUGACCGUAUCUGCACCAAAACGCAAGUUGUAUGACCAGAAAAAUGUAUUUUGAAAGUUGUAGCACUAAACUGUACAUCCAACGCAAGUUGUAUGACUACGAGUGAUAUUACCUCUUUUCUUUUGUUGGGGUGAGAUCUUGAUUCUGAGAUUGGUUUUUUAUUUAUACGAGGGAGGUGAUAUCUCUUUCUUUUAUCAUACAUGAUUCUGAUAUUUCUUUUUUAAUUUAUUAGGGACGUGAUAUCUCUUUGUUAUUGUGACACUAGUAAGUGUGCACGUGCAACGCACGUUUUGAUUAAUACCCAUAAGUUAUAAAUGAUACAAUUGGACAUAGAACAAAAGCAUCCAAAUCAAAUCAUGUGCAUACACACAAUCAACACUAUUCACCCAUACGUCUUGCUCUUUUCCUCGUACGUAUAAUUAUUGCGCAAAGAACAUUUGUUAUGGAUCUGAUACAUUUUUCUGCCGACUCAACCUUCCAACCUUGGCUCAAUAAUUGGAAGAGAAUAAACAAAACUACAAAAUCAAGAACCGGGUCUUAAAGACCUAAGUUCCCAGAGGAUUGGUUCUAUUCAACUCCUAACCUGUCACGUACGACAAAGAAUCAUCUUGCAAGAACCAGAGAUAAAAAAGCACGUGAUCUUGGUAAGAUUACACCGUCAAAAAGAAAAUCUUGAUGAGAUUAGUGAAAUUUAGAAGGAUUCGAACAUAACUGUGAUGCUAUGAAAAAUUCCACCCCAUACAAAGUAGGGAAAAUAUUCUUUAUAAAUAUGUAACAUUCUCCAAGAUAACUCAUGAGCCUCACCAGAACAAAUCUCAUAGAAUGAAUAUCACAUCUUUGUAGUGAACGGAUAUAGCAAUUACAUUCAUAUAGAAUAAUUAGUUACGACAUUGUCACCUACUCACCUGAUCGUCUUCAGUCGCAUGCUUGCCGCUCCACUAUAUGGGCUAGAGAAGUGGCAUGCAGCAAGGCUGGGGUGUGGGCGAGGUGCAAUGCCGGAUCGUUUACGAUGGCAGAAGGAUAAUGUGGGACGGCUGCGGGCGUGGCCAAGUGGUGUGGGACGGAAGCCCCGACUGACAUCCGUCUGUGAGGCUCUUAGCUACCAAGAGUUCUGGGGCAAGUGUAGGUGUUCCCUUAAUUUAGAGUCUCCAUAGCAAACUCUGUUAAGAAAUAAGGGAAAGCAUUGAAAUGAAAAUAUGCUAAGGUAACUAUGUAGAGAGAAAGGGAAACGACUAACGGGUUGCUUCCCAAUCUUCAGUCACAACACCAAAUUGACACAAAAAAUACUACUAUAUUAUGAAAAAAUUUAUACCUGCAUUAUCCACUGUUAGAGUACGUAAUGGGCCUAAUGGGCCCAUUAGUCUUAGGGUUAAUUAGAGAUAAGGGUCGCUUACUUAGGGGUCAAGUAAGCCUUGCUUGAGAGUCAAGUAAACCUCUCUAUAUAAAAAGAGGAGAUGUAUCAAUCUAAUCAAGCAAGAAUUAAGAAGGAAAUCCCUUCCCUCUUGCCCGGCCGUGGGCAAAAAGGCCCCCGGCCGGCCCUCUCGCGCCCUCCUUCUAGCAGCGCCAUAACAAUUUGGUAUCAGAUAGCUCAGUUCCGAUCAUGUCUUCGCCGCCGCCCAUCCCAUCGCUUCCGCUGCCGACCGUGACCACCGCGCCGCUGGCCAUCUACACCGCGCCGCUGCCCUCCCCGUCCGCGCUACUGGUCGCAUCCUUUGGCGCCACCACCGCACCACCGGCCGCCGCCUACACCCCGGAGGAGAUCACCGGGGUCCUCAACGACCUCAUCACAGCCAUCCAGGGGAUCCAGCUGUACCUGGCUAGCCCCUACGGGCCGCCGCCGACCGCUGCCAUCGGGCCGCCGGCCCUGCCGUGGUACUCGCUGCAUCCAGGGGCCUCCGCGGCGUUCACUGGGACGCUGCAGCCCCAGCUGCAGCUGCCGCCGCCGCCCGCAGUGGCCGCCGCAGGCUCCCGCCGCGCCUCCAGCGCCCAUCGCCGCCUCCGCGCCGCCGUGGCUGCCGUGGCAGCCGCCACACCAGGAGGCCUUCGCCGUGCUCGCCGGGCCACUGUAGCAGCCGCUGCAGCUGCCAUCCAUCGCCACCACCGCCCAGCCUUGGCUGCAGUGGCAGCCGCCGCUCCUGGCGGCCUCCGCCGCGCCCGGCGCUCCAUCGCAGCAGCCGCUGUCGCUGCCCGGUGCGCCACCGCAGCAGCCGCUGCAGCUGAAGCAGCCACCGCCGGUCAGCUCCGGCCCCGCAUCGACCGCGCCGGCUGGAGUCCUGCUCCACCAAGUCCAGUCCCCGCCAUCGCCGUCACCGCUUCCUUCUUGGAUCGCUACCCGCCACGUUUCGACAGCGGUGAGGCUGCAGGCUGCUGCGCGUGGCCUCCUAGCGCGUCGGCGUGUGCGGGAGAUGCGUGGUCUGCAGCUGUCGCUCCUCCAAGUUGCCCUUCGCUGCGCAGAGGACCUCGAUCUCAUCCGCUGCGUCGGGGAUCUUGGGCAUGCGGUUUCCCCCAAGGGCGGUGGGCCUACUGCUUUCCCCGCGGGCAGCGACCUCAAAGUCUGCGACAUUGCCGGUUGGGGGGGCGCACCCCUCCUCGUCAUUCUCCAUCACAAGCCCUCCACUCUUCCCUGUGCGGUGCAAACCAACAGCCGUCCGGCAGGGAGAAGGCAUGGUGUCACCGACAGCAGCGCACCGCGUAGCACCACUGCAUUCCGCCACCGGCCGCCGCGAGAGCGCCUCUGCUGGUCACUCUUGCGACCACUUCCAGGUGGUCAUACACAUGCACUCCUUUUGUCCAGGUGGUGUCCAUGGGAUCCAGGUGGCUGUACACGUGCACGUCCGACUGCGGAUGGUGUCCAUUUUUUGUUAAAGGGUCCAAAAUAAAGCGUCCCAGUCCAUUUCAGGUUGAGAAUAAUAAAACAAGCCGAGAUGUAAAAGGCUUGUUUUUAGGUGUUAGGUUUGUGUUGCGUCGAGUCAUGGUUAUAAGUUGGUUAGGCUGCAGCUCGAGGACAAGCUGCAUGUCCAGGUGGGGUGUAGUGUUAGAGUACGUAAUGGGCCUAAUGGGCCCAUUAGUCUUAGGGUUAAUUAGAGAUAAGGGUCGCUUGCUUAGGGGUCAAGUAAGCCUUGCUUGGGAGUCAAGUAAACCUCUCUAUAUAAAGAGAGGAGAUGUAUCAAUCUAAUCAAGCAAGAAUUAAGAAGGAAACCCCUUCCCUCUUGCCCGGCCGUGGGCAAAAAGGCCCCCGGCCGGCCCUCUCGCGCCCUCCUUCUAGCAGCGCCAUAACAUCCACACUGCAUCCAUACUACUAUAUUGAGGAAAUUUUAGGACCAAGUGAUAAAAUAUAUGCCAUUUUCACUGUCAGUGCUUUCUUUGGGGCUGAAUUCCUCUCUCAUUUUGUCGGUGGAGAAUUCUCUUUGGACUUGUGUCAACUCAAAGAAAUAACCAAGUGUCCAUAUAUCGUUUGUUUCCAACACCAUCAGCUGCAGUGAAUGAAGACAUCUAGUGAGCGACCACAUAAUCCACACAUCUAGGUUCCAGGGGUGGGACUUACUCAACAUUCAGUCACAUCAUCAUAAACACUUGGAGAUCAAUUCUGAAAACUGAAUAACAUGCCAAAGAUGAAACAAAAUACUUUCAAACUACAAGUAUCAUGCCGAAGAAAUCCAAUUAAUCUAGUCCAAUGCAGGUGCUUCCAAUCUAAUAUUCCUAGUAGCAACAAGCCAUGUUGUAAGCAGGGAAUUUUGAUACAGCUACGUAUAUCCAAGUGUUGCAAACAGGAGUUUAUAUGUCAGGAGCAGGAAAGUUAGUAGCAAGAAAAAUCACGUCAGAUAGAACACAUUAACAAAACACAGAUUUUGCCACAUUAUUACAUAGAACUUCAUUCUCUUUUUGGUAGGUCUUAACCUAGUGUCAUCACGAGCUCUGGAAUCAACACUAUCAACUAUAUCUUUGAAUGACGGCAUUUCUUUCGUGAGACAUAUUUCUAGAAAAGAGUUACUACAAAUACAUCUGACAGACCGAUGUGAAAUAUGUCAACAUAAGGAGUUCAAAGUAAGCUUUGUAUUGUAGGAUGAAUGAAUGGAGUGGCAUGGAGAAUUGGCAAAGAAGCGAAUCUUCCUUUGACCUAGACUGUAGAUCUCAAGAAAACAAGAUCCGGAGGAAGACAGAGGACAAAAUGUGUGCUGCGGAGGGCGACACGUGUGUCAUGGAGGUGACCCUCUUCCUAGCCGCCUUUCCACACCUCAUAGCCUUCUGCACCCCCACUGCACUCCAUAGGUUGCCCUCCCGUCUCGCAUUCCAAGCCUUCCAUGCCGCCGCAUGCCGGAAGCCGGAGGAACGCAUCGCCUUCACGCACACACCCUCCGCCGUGCAGCUGCCAUGACACCAUCGCACCCACGCCACAAGGGCCACCACGCGUCGCUCUGCCGCCAUGGCCCGCACCCACCGCCGCGUCCGUGGGUGCCCGCUGCGUCCUAGUCCGCCGCCGCUGGUCGAGGGGGGAGAGGGACCUUGCCGGCACUGACGCAGGCCGAGCACUCUGGUUCCGCGCCACCGCUUCUCGAGGGAGGAGACACAGGCCGAGCGGCACGCGUCAUGCUGCGGGCGGCACGAGGCCGGGGACGCCGUCGCUCCUGCUUCCUUGGUGGCAUGGCGGGGACGAGGAGGGAGUGUGGGGAUCGUGUGUUAGUUUCCAGCAAGUGCGUGAUUACAGGAGAUGCGUUGAAUUUUUAUCUGGGGUGAGUAAUUCCAUCGCAUUUUUUUCAUGCCUUGCAUGAUUUACGGGGAUGCGUUUUGCGGGCCUGAAGUUUCCUCUGCGGUGGAAUUUGUUCAGUCAAACUAAAUUACUAAGUACACACAAAAGAAGAAUUAGAUUAAAAUAAAGUGUUAGAUUAAAUUUAGUGGGUCUAAUUCUAUGGUGAUAAUGGAUUCGUGUACAUUUUGUGGGGUGUGUUUAAAGAAAUUCUUGUUUGAUUGUUUAACGGAAAUGUUACGUGUGGGCGUUCACCAUCUCGAACACACGCAACGAUCACCGUUGGGGACUUUGUGUACGAAUCUUGGCACAAUCCGGUCAUUUUUCUGCGCCACGUAGGACGAGGCGCGUGUGCGGUGUGCGAGACCGGUCGCCCGCAUGUUGGUUGCCCUCCCGCGGUCAGCAGUUGCCACUCGGGGGCGUGCGGUGGAACCGCUAUGCGCCCGCAUGCCACGCGCCGACCGCGGUUAUCGUCAAACACGUCACGCACCUCUCCCCCUCUCCCUCAUGGUGCCAUUUACUAACCCCCGCAGUUGCUGGCACAACCCACUUCGCUUUCCAAACCAUUGGAGGAGAAGGCGAGGGGAGAAGGCGACGACGUAGGUGGAAGAAUCGACGGUGUUCGCGGCCGUCGGUGGUGCUUGCCGAAACGGUGCGGCUUCGCCGGAGGGCCUGCGGAUUGAAGGUAAUGCUCGCUCCAACUCUCGCAAUCCCUUCCUGCAUUUUCCCCCCUUCCCUCCCUGUUUGAUUCCUCGCUCGAGAUUCGUAGAGAUUCAGGCGAUUUGGCGGUGCGUCGACGUUCCCGUCGACGGCGGAGUCCUGUGCGCUAGCCGUUUUCGGUGGCACUGGGCAGUUUCGUGGACGCCGCGGUGGCUCCCUCAUCGGGGUGGUUAUGCCUGUCCAGAGACACGCACUAGGUGGGCCUUGGGAUUGGGCAGGUGUCUGCCGGUUUGUUAGUUGCGCAUUGGUUCGAAUUGGUGUUUGCAAUCAGUUCGGGGGAGAACUUUGAGGUUGAAUUUGAAGUCACUGUAGUUGCCAUUGAACCCUAGAUCUAGUUAGUUGUUUUUGAAACUGCAUUAUGAGGCAAACGUGGUAGUUUUGAUUAGCUAUCAUGACUGUAUGGCAACUACCUUCCUGAAUGAAUGCGAUAAUUGCCACAAACGUGCUCCCCCAUGCGGCAACUAACUUACUGAAAUGACAGUGAUAGUUGCCACAAUCAAGCUUUCCCAUGCGGCAACCAAGUUAUUGAAUGACAGUGAUAGUUGCCACACACACGCUCUUCCAUGUGGCAACUAAUUUGCUGAAUUACUGUGAUAGCAGCCACAAACAUGUUGUUUCAUUAUGGCAACUAAUUUUCCUGGAUGAUUUGUGAUAGUUGCCACACUGUAUGAAUGGUAAAGUGUAGUAAAUCGGUAGUCAAUGAAGUUUCAGUAACCAACUGCACUGGACGGCAACUAACGUGCACAUCAACCUUGCCUGUUGCCACAUGGACAGUAUAUUCUUGUGGCAAAUAGAAUGUGAACACAUUGUGUCUGUUGCCAUACCGUAGACAGGACUAUGUGGCAAACUGGCUGCAUAACAUGGCAACCAAUUUUGCACAUCAAAUUGUAUCAGAUGCCAUACAUAUGCUUUCCAUGUGGCAAUUUCCUGUCCGACCACAACAUGUAUGUUGCCAUGUUACAGUCAGUACAAUGUGGCAAAAUCAUUGUACUACAGACGCAAUUUUUGUGUUUUUGCCACAAUGACUUGCGAUAUCUGAACACACUGUGGCAAUUUUCAGGUUCUUUGAUUAGAUGUUUUUCAUUGCUUUUUUGUAUUACGUGUUGCAUUUUUAACAUGGCAAUUCAACCCUAGCAUAUUUUUGCCGCUGAACAGAUGGCAUUUCAUUGGUGUAUUUUUAGGACAGGGUGUGAGCUGCCACAUUUUAGUUUUUGUGAUGUGGAGGAUUUUGAGACUAUCUAUCGUACUAUCUUUGGCUAACAUGGCAACUUCAACAUUUUGUUUCAAGUGCAUUUACGAUAUGUACACCUUUUUUCAGAAAAUGCAACCAAUGUGCUUACUUGCCACGUUUAUGUUUUCGACAAUCACAAGAGGGGUGCGUGUGUGUUCACUAAUUGACAUUUUCUGUUGAGUGGCAACUGCUUACCUCUUUGCAUUUUUUCGUUUCCACUGUGACAAUUUUGGUCUGUUCCUAUCUCAGCAGAAUGGCUCGUGGCGAUCAUCAAAAUGAUGACGAUGAUUUCAUGGAUCCACCACAGCAUAAUCAGGCAGUUGGAUGGAAAAAAGAGGGUGAUGAGGUAACUGUCCACACACCUCCCCUCCCCCCCUCCUACUGCUUAUGUUUCUGGAUGCCACCUUGAGCUUUGCAGUUGUCUGUCAUGAACUAAAAUUUCAUGACAGUGCAAAACAUGGCAACAACUGAUCCCUUUUUGUCUCUUUUUUGCAGAAGAAUAAACGUAUUCGCAACAGAGCCUCCCAAGAACGACUGACUAUGUUGACCGACAGAUUUACCGACGAUCAGAAAGGAGCUGUUGCUGAGAUGGGUAUGCAGGCUCUGAUGAACGUCCGGUGCACGAAUCUUGUCAACCCUGUAUGCGACUGGCUUGGUGAGAUUUACGACCCCGCCUCCAGGGAGUUUUUGAUUCCGGGACGUGGAAGACUACCGUUGAACGAGGAAUCCGUGUUCUGCACUUUGGGUGUGCCUCGUGGACAGAUGAAAGUCCCGUACGAGGUCAAUAACGAGAUCGAGGAAGCGUUGUUCCCCCGUUUGUUUCCUGGGUUGGAAUCCAUGUCGAACACGUCUGUACUGGUAGAUCCGCUGCAGGCAAUGACGACCCACGAAGAUGUUUUUAAGAUGAAGCUACUCAUGUAUAUCAUCUCAGCCGUUUUUUCCGCCGACCACUUCUCUUCGGCCAAGCAACAAAUGAUUUCUCAUCCUGGUGAAUGGUCCAUCCUUACUACUUUAUUUUCCUACAAUGUAUUUGGAUCCGAUGUCAUGUGUAAAGCUAGUCACUGCCAGUGCUUUUUGAUGUUUUUUUUUCAUUUGAAUUCUGAUGCGGCAACUUGUUGCCCUGAAAAUCUUGUGCGGUGCAGGCAAAACUGAAAGAUGUGAAGAACAUGAACUGGUGUAAGUUCAUAGCCGACUUCCUGCACGAUGCAUUCUCAAGCAAGAUGUACCAAAAGGGUUGUCGACUGCCUUUAAUGGUAUUUUUUUACCAGUCUUAUUUUGUGAACACUCUUUUUUAA
rnacentral:lncRNA from 1 species